GAUGAACGCUGGCGGCGUGCCUAAUACAUGCAAGUCGAGCGAACAGACGAGAGUGCUUGCACUCUCUGACGUUAGCGGCGGACGGGUGAGUAACACGUGGGUAACCUACCUAUAAGACUGGGAUAACUUCGGGAAACCGGAGCUAAUACCGGAUAAUAUUUAGCUUCGCAUGAAGCAAUAGUGAAAGACGGUUCUGCUGUCACUUAUAGAUGGACCCGCGGUGUAUUAGCUAGUUGGUGAGGUAACGGCUCACCAAGGCAACGAUACAUAGCCGACCUGAGAGGGUGAUCGGCCACACUGGGACUGAGACACGGCCCAUACUCCUACGGGAGGCAGCAGUAGGGAAUCUUCCGCAAUGGACGAAAGUCUGACGGAGCAAUGCCGCGUGAGUGAAGAAGGUUUUCGGAUCGUAAAACUCUGUUGUAAGGGAAGAACAAGUACGUUAGUAACUGAACGUACCUUGACGGUACCUUACCAGAAAGCCACGGCUAACUACGUG
rnacentral:rRNA from 1 species